UCAGUGGUCAGGUCUUUGCCAUGCCACCUACUUCCCUGUCUGCAGGCUUUGCCAAUGCAUGGGAAUGUGAAUUUGGCUCCCCACAGCUGGAACUACAAAUAUG